UGGCAGGGCUUCUGAUUUAUUUGUCUCAGAAAAAAAUGGACUUUGAGCUUCCUAAACCAAUUCCGCAACUGAACCAACACGUGGCAAGUGGGGAAAACAGGAGAAUUCAUUUCUGAACUGCACUGCUGCUCUGAAGGGACAGAUUAAUGGAUGUGGUCCAUUAGUGUGAAAUACAGGGUUUUUUGGGAGGCUGGGAGAAUUCAGAAUAUAUUGAAAUUCCAUGUUAUGUUGUCAGCAGCUGCCAGUUCAAUGAAGCAACGUAUAUGGUGCAGGAACUGAAACCAUGGGGCAUAUUCCAGCUUUGGGAAGUGACAACAAAGAAUAUGCAAGAUGAAAGCAAUUCCUUGCUGUUAAAAUGCUCAUUCCUCUGGCAAGAAAUAGGAGAUGCUUGGUGGUUGAACAGGGUUAUGCUGUGACCUUGAGACAAACCUUUGGAAGCAGCCCAUCCCUCCAGCAACACGCUGUGUUCCAGCUCCUGCCUCGGAUCCUCUGCCUGGAUCUAAUGAGGAGAUGGACUGAAAUCAUGGAAAGCUGCAUCUCUUCUCUAGCUUUAGGUGGAGUUAUUCUAAUUUGCUACUGCUUCUGUAAGAAGAGAAUUUGAUCCACUCUGUUCUUCAGUGAAAUUCUUUGGAAUUGGCUGCUGAUUCAGAAGAGAGAACACAGGGGGCUCUGGAGAUCAGGGGAGACUUCUGAGGAUGGGAAGAAAAAAAGUAGUGCAAGGAGGAGGAUCAGAGGAACUACUGGCCUGUGACUCUCACCUCCCCCAGGACAAGAGUCCAGCUGAAAUGCAGGAAAUUCACUGAAACAUCAGGAAACCUUUUUUGCACAGAGAGAUUGUGGAGUUUCCAUCCUUGAUAUUGAACCUCUGAGUGGACAGUCCUUGACCCUCCUUUAAGCAGAGGCUUGAACAAGAUGCUUUCUAGAGAGGAAUGAGAUCUGAAAUGUGGCAUUUGCUGUAGCUAUUAGACUUGUUUAUUUAUGAGCUGUUACAUAGUUAUGAAGAGAUUGCUUUUUCCUGUCUGACUUUAGUAUGCAAGAUAGUUCCACGUAAUCAGCAUUUUCAAUAAAGUAACAAUUACUGGAUGAUAUAUGGUUGUCCAAGUAUGAGCCUUCUGCUUGUCUUCAGCUGAGAAUCAAAUUACUGCAACAGCUUUAUUGAACUUCAAAUGAGGCAGAAAUAA